GGUACUAUAGCUCAGCUGGUCAGAGCGUUGGUCUGAAAAACCAAAGGUCCUUAGUUCAACUCUAAGUAGUACCA
rnacentral:tRNA from 1 species